rnacentral:lncRNA from 1 species
AGGAGCGAAGGUUCGGAAAAGCCCUUCUAUAUAUGUUGUAUCUGCAUAUUAAACUACGAAGAGUUUUAGGACAUCGUUAGAAUCAUUGUCAAGAGAAAAACAAUACAUGGAAAACAGAAUAAGGAAUAAGCGCACAAAGAAAAGCCGCCUCACCGUCGGUAUCAUUCUCUCCCUCUCCCAUCCCUGCAGUGUAACAUGUCUGCCGCAAAGCAGGAAGGCCAUCCAUGUCGCCUGGCCAUGAGGCUACGGAUUUCAGGCCCAGAAUAAGGAGGUCGAGUUAGGGAGUGGAGCAGUGAGUCGAGGCAUCAACAUCCUACUUCCU